GGCGAUUAUGAAUGGGCGGCGCUUGUCUUUUGGGGGCGUGGUUUGCAGAAGGGCCUGGUGCUGUAAAGGGGCGUGGCCUGGGUUUGGGGCGUGGUUUGUUGGGGUUCUCGUGGGGGCGGGGCUUCCAUUAGUUGGUGUGGUUUGUAUGAGGCCUUGUGGCAUGGAGGGGGCGGGGCUUGGGCGCGGGGCUUAUAGAAUGACGUGGUGGUGAGGGGCAAGGCUUGGUUUUAGAGGUGCGGCCUCGAGAAAUGGGCGGUGUUGGAAUGCGGCUGAGAGGGGCGGGGCUUGUGGGAGGGGUCGUGGUCUGUAGGAGGGCCUGGCAGUCGAGGAGGGCAUGGCUUGGAUUUAGGUAGUGUAGCUGUGAGGAGGGGUUCGAAGCGUGCACGGAAAGGGUUAAAAGGAGUGGGCGUGGCUUCGGUAGGGCGAACCGCGCAUGCGCCAGGCCGCGCUAUGGGCGGAGCCUCCGCUGCUAUAAAAGCCGCUGCAGCGAAGCUCGGCGCCAUUCGUCGCUGAGGUAAGUAUGGGUGUGGUUGGGGCUUGUGCUUCCAUGCGCGGGGCCGUCGCGGUGAUGAUCGCUCAGACUAGAGUCUCCGACCGCUCUGAGGACACCGCAGCGCCUGAGCGACGGCCCCGCUCCGCCCUCCGCCCCGCUCCGCCCUCACUGCUCUCUCUUUGCAGGCUUCCAACGCCAGGUCGCUCCCAUAGCGGUAAGAGCCGUCCUUCCUGCCCCCGCGGUCCUUCCUGCCCCCGCGGUCCUUCCUGCCCCCGCGGCCGUGAGGAGCCCCGCACGAGGCCGAGCCGCCGUGACGAGCCCGCAGCGCACUGAGCCCGCGGAGCCCGCGCCGCCAGGCCGCUCCGUGCUGCGCCGUGCCCGCUCAGUGCUUUUUAUUCUCCAGGAUCGGCGAACUGGAAGACUUUGGGGACGGAAAGGCGAUUUUUGGGGCUGCGCUGAGGUAAAGCUGCGGUUUGUGGGUAAUAAAAGCGGUUUUAAGUCCGA